UUUCUUUCCUGGAAGAACGGCGACCCCUAGCGGCUUGUGGUGGGCAGUUGCACGCAGACGGGGUCUCUGAUUCUUGCCCAGGCUGCUCUUCAGUAAGCUUCAUGCGGUUGCUGUGGGUGUGGCCACUUUCAGGCUUCUGCUCUGCUAUGGCGGGGCCGCGCCGGAGGGGGAAUAGAUGGGAGUCUGUUUAUCACUGUGAGGAGCCUCAGCACUGCCCUGCCACCCAGGGAGUUAGGGCACCUGGAGUUCCCUGAGAUUCCCAGCUCCUGGGCUGAGUGUGCCGGGACGCUUCCAUCCAGCUGCAUUAGCACAUUUUUUGAAUAUGCAAGCUUUAUGGAGAUAAGGCAACACACAGAAUCACAAAGGAUCUGUCUUACUAAAGAGAAAUCAAGCAGGUUUUUAUUUUAGCAAACCACUUACAACCUUAACCUACUUGUGGCUUUUUUGUGUAGCAUAAAAUAUUUCUCAUACUGGAUUGGGUUCCUUAAAGCUCGUUUUAAAUUCAAAUCAAAACAGGGAGUAGAAGAGGUAACCAUUUAGAAUGGUCAUAGAUCUUUGGUAGUAUCACAGGUUUUUAGACUGAGGAAUAUUCUCCCAAAAUAGGAGUUGGCACACACUUUUGGUUGCCUGCCCAAAAGCCAUUCUUCUCUCUUAUUUUCUCUUCUGGAAGAGUCUCUUUCCCAUAAUAGACGUUAAAAUGCCAGAUACUGUCUCUUCCACCCUCCUUACAUGUAGGGUUGGACAUGUGACCCAGGACAGGCCAAUGAGCCUUUUGGCAACAUUCUCUCUAGACUCUUCUAGAAAGAUUUUCCAUCCUGAUGAAAGCGAGAUAUUCAAGAAGAGCUUUCUUUCCCACCUCUUCCCAUCUGUCAUUUCAUAGGUUAUGGGAGCUCUGGAGGCCAUACUGGAGGCAUUAAACAGUAGACCAAAGCCAACAGGCUGAGGAUAGCAACGUAAGGGGAUGGAAGGAGCCUGGCUCACUGCUGACGCUGUUUAGCCCGGGAUGACCUAACUUUCUACUUCUUGUUAGUAACAGACCCCUCUGAGUGUAAGCUCAUCACAUGGCUGCCCAGGAAGAUGCUAUAUUUCUCAGUUUUUGAAGGCAUCCUCAUAGAUGUGGGAUGUGGAUAAAAUGAGAGUUCCUGUGGCCAGGAUUCUCACCGGGCCCUGGUUGACUAGCUCACUGCACACCUGUGGGCAAUACAUGGCUGUUGACUCUGUAAAAAGAGCUCCGCCCGGUGCUCUGAGCAUGACACAGUGGCAGGGCUGCAAGGCUGCAGGAGAGCAGAGCAGAGGCUGGAGUGGUGGCAGCACUGAGGGCAGAGGCCCAGAGGACGGCUGUGCGGGACAACUGUGCAGAGAGGCCUGGAGGACAGCUGUGCGGGACAACUGUGUGAACAGAGGGGCCCAGAGGCAGCAACCAGCUUGCUGCAUGCAGACUUGCUCUGAGUGAACGGGAUUUUAGUGACUGACCUGCCACCUGGAAAUAAAGUUGGGUAUAACCCUUUCACCCCAAGAAUGUUUUGUUGUCAAUUUCUUUGGUCACUCUGAAUCCAUACAAACUUCCCUGGGGCCGAAACCCAUUGGCAAGACAAUUGGUGAAAGUCGGCAGGGUUCACUGUUGACCAAGGAAAAAGACAGGCUGCCCUCAUGGGAGGGGCACUUCAGCGGGCUGCCCCUGUGAAUGGGAGACAGUGGAUUGUCCCCCAGUGGGUAUGUGGUCUGAGGUGGCUUGCCUCCUAGAGGACUGGGCCCCACCCCAGGACUGGAGGCAAGUGGAGGUGACACCUGAGGCAGUAGGGGUGGCCCUUGGUAUAGUAAGCAGAUCCUUUGAGAAGCAGAGUGCCCGUUAGGCA